UACGGAGGGUGCGAGCGUUGUCCGGAAUCACUGGGCGUAAAGGGCGCGUAGGCGGUUCGUUAAGUUGCUGGUGAAAUCCCGGGGCUCAACUCCGGGGCUGCCAGUAAGACUGGCGGGCUAGAGCACGGUAGAGGCAGAUGGAAUUCCCGGUGUAGCGGUGAAAUGCGCAGAUAUCAGGAGGAACACCAAUGGCGAAGGCAGCUCGCUGGGACGGUACUGACGCUGAGGCGCGAAAGCGUGGGGAGCAAACAGG
rnacentral:rRNA from 1 species